CAUCAGGGACAUAAUCCAGCGACCUCUCUGAUUUGAAACACGGUGCAUUUCUUGUUCAUGCGUGGGACGCUGCGUUGCACGUUCUUUCAUUCGCCGAAGGUUUUCCCUUCGUCGCGAUCCUUUUUAUAAGCCUUGCCAUCUCCGCCUCAAAGUCGUUGUCAUCUUAGAUCCAGAAAACAAUUCCUAGUUUUCGCUGCUACUCAACCUUCCACAUCGUUAUUACGGUCGAGAGCAGCCUGAGCCUCUGACAGAGAGUGGUAAGGUAGCAUUGAAGAAGAAGAUUGUCCCCGAAACUCCAGGAAUGACGACGGCCACCAUUGACUUCCGUGAAGAAGAUGAUCGUUCCUUUCUCAAAGUAGAGCGAGUUCUUCGUUGAAGUCAAGUCGAGAAAUGAUGAUAGUAUCUCAAAGCCGAUGGUCAACUCAGUAGAUUGGCUCCCAUGGAGUGGCCAAAAGCUUAAAGAUGAACCUUGAUUGAUGAAUCUUGGGACUGUUUCAUGAAGUGGGUUUUAGAAAUUUUGAUGCAAUCAUGAAGAAAGAUGUGUGGAUUCAUGGCUCUUCUCAUAUUUGCAAUUUCUACAGCUUCUAUAUUGGACGAGCUUGAUGGAUUGGGAUGCAGAAGAAAUUAUGGUAGUUUGGUAGAAACAGUCAACAUGAUCUAUCACCACUAGGGAUUUGCAAAUGCAUAUUAAAGAAGCACUAAUUUGUAGGAACUUAUUGGAGUUGCUGGCAGAAUCAUUGUUUAUAAUCUCAAAUAUAUCAGUACAUGCAUAGUCAUAACUUGGCAAAGCAAAAAUCAAGAGAAUGGAUUUCAAACAGUGAGGCGGAGGAGAGAGGUAUGGUUGUGUUGAAUUCUCUUUUGAGUAGCAUGGCUGUUUUCUACGAAGGAUAAUUGCAGGAAAAUGGGGUCAUCAUCAUCAAAGGAUCUAUUAUACUGUGAUGUAGUUUUGGUUGCUGCAACAUUUUUCAAUCUUGUUAGAAUUGAAUUUCCAGAUGAAGAACUGGUUUCGUCCUUCAGCUAGUGCAUAAGAGAAAUAUUGAUGAACUAUAUCAAUAUUGAUGAAGAGGACAAGUUUUGAAGAAGAUAUCUCCAUGAAGGUUUUGCAAGUUGAAGUUGUUGGUCUAGUUGACCAAAUUUGUGAGAAAUAUUGAUACAGCUCAUCAUAGUUGUAUGUUAAUAUUUCGGCAUGUUGUUGCCCCUCUUUGUUGUUGUUGGCAAGUUGAGUACUUACAGUCAAAGAGACGUCAACUUAAAGGGGGUGUUGAAAUAUUAGUUAUUAAUCAUUGUUGGUUGAUGGUCUAAACUUAUGUAAAAUGAAAGGCGAUAGGCAUUUAGGUAAGGGAGUUUAAUCCUACAUAAGAGAGGGAGGUUAACUUGAUCCUCACCUCAUAUUAGCCUUCAAAAUGAGGUUUGUUCAUCACCGAAGUGAGUUGAUUAGAUUGUAAAUCUUUCAAGAGAAGGAUUAUGAUAUUGUA